GACGAACCGUGCGAACGUUGUUCGGAAUCACUGGGCUUAAAGGGCGCGUAGGCGGGUUCUCAAGUCAGGGGUGAAAUCUUUCGGCUUAACCGGAAAAGUGCCCCUGAUACUGAGAGUCUCGAGGGAGGUAGGGGCAUGUGGAACUAAUGGUGGAGCGGUGAAAUGCGUAGAUAUCAUUAGGAACGCCGGUGGCGAAAGCGACGUGCUGGACCUCUUCUGACGCUGAGGCGCGAAAGCUAGGGGAGCAAACGGGG
rnacentral:rRNA from 1 species